AUUGAACGCUGGCGGUAGGCCUAACACAUGCAAGUCGAACGAGUGGAGGACGGGUGAGGAAUGUCUGGGAAACUGCCCGAUGGAGGGGGAGAAAUACGGGAAAAGGUAGCUAAUACCGCAUACCAUCGGAUGUGCACAGAUGGGAUUAGCUGGUAGGUGAGGUAACGGCUCACUAAGGCGACGAUCCCUAGCUGGUUUGAGAGGAUGACCAGCGCAAGGUGAAACGAGGCACGGUCCAGCCUCGUACGGGAGGAAGCAGUGGGGAAUAUUGCACAAUCGGCGCGAGCCUGAUGUAGCCAUUCCGAGGGUAGGAAGAAGGUCUUCGGUUUGUAAAGUCCUGUCAGCGGGGAGGCGUUACCCGCAGAAGAAGCACCGGCUAACUCCGUGCCAGCCGCCGCGGUAAUGC
rnacentral:rRNA from 1 species